AACCAAGGCAGCUUAUAAAUCUGCUGGGCUUAAGCUUCCCUCCUUCCUUGACUCCAGGGAUGGGGUUCUCCUCUGGCAAAGUUAUGAUUACUUAACACUUCUCUUUGUCAAUGUGUGUGGUGUGAGAAUUAGUUACGAUGCAAGAUUUUUGGCUAGAUGUUUCCGUUCAUCCAGCAUGUGUUUGAAAUGGAACACUUCCGACACAUAGCCGCUUCUGCCUGAACUUUACAGGAACCAGUUGGUAUCAUUUACAGGUUGUUGUUUUUUUUGUCCUCUCAUCAUGUGGGUAUCCAGAAACCCUUGACGUCUGUGGUUAUUUUUAGUCAUCAUAGAAAAAAGUUUAUGCAAACUAAGCAGUUCAUUUUGGUCCCCUUCUCAGGGGCAAAGAGUUCUUCCCUCUUUUGUCAACAGACCUAGAACCAGGGUGCCUUUAAUACCAAACGGGGAGUGGGCAGUACACCCCUCCGUCUUCUGCAACACCACUCACAGUCCCGUAAGCCGUCUUUUCCUUCCUCUUCCUCCUCGUACUGAGAUUCAGUGCUUCUCUGGCACCGGGAGAGCUUGGACUACGAGGAUUGGAUUUAAGAAGUUGAGAUUUGAGUUCUGCUAGUGUUCACCUGAUCUGAACUUUGCUUCCCGACACAAGUCUGGUUUAUUUGGCCACAGCGAGUGCCUCGGAAAAUGCAUGUCCUUUUGGAAAGCCACCAGUAACAAAGUAAAAGCAUCUCCUAUGUGUUGGCGUUUUCCCUUGCAGGGCUCAAAAGUUUUGAUGCAGCCUCGGCCAGCCCCUUUAAAAAAAAUUAAGUGCAAGCUGGCUCCAGAAAGGUGAGGUUUUUAUCCCCUGGAAUUGUUUGCAUCGCUGUUUGUAUGGGAAGUGAAAUAGAGGAGCCAGUGUUUCUGAACGGUAGUCGUAGAAUCGUACGUUUUCUGCCUUGGCAGGUAAUUUCAUAUAAAUUGUUAAUGUAAAUUGAGGUUACGAGGAAAGAUUUCUUUCCUAAAAAAGACAAACUGCUGAUUAAUUCAGUAUAGAACUCAAUUACAAAUUGAAAGGGCCACUGCGGGACUCCAGAGCCCUAAAGACAACAGAUGUUGAAUUGAUACUCCAGCAUAUUUCACACUGAUAUGAAAUAUUCACAGGGUUUAUUAUACUUGUGUUGUAGGAUGUGAGGAAGGGAGGCCCGGCUUACAAGCAUUUGCACAGCGCAUGGUGAGAACAGCCUCAGUCCAAUCAGCUGUAAUUAAAGCCUUUUAAAGGAAAUUGAUAUUUCGGGGGGGGGGAUACUUUGGAACAAAGCCUGACGAAGUUUAAAUUUCUUCCUUUUUGUGUUUGGUUGUUUCUCGUGUGUACGUGUCAAAUCAUGCAGCACUGCAUCUUUACAAAAUGCCCAGCGUCAGGACGCUCAUACUAUUCCUUCUGCCUGCUUCAGAUCCUGACAUGCUGAUCCUCAGAUUUCAUGUGGGGUGAAUGCAAACGUCUUACCUGUGUAUCUUGCAGUCCCAGCUGAAGAAGGCUUCCCUCUUGUUCCCACAAAAUAGUUUCCGCUGCGCUCAAGCCCGGCAGCACAUCAAACAAAGCUUUGGGGAAGUAGAUAUUUGUGAUUAAAGAGCAGCCAAGCUUAUUUCUUUCUUCCCUGAAAAUCUCUUAAAAUGCGUCGUCUGUUUCCCAGGAUGGAGAGCAAUUAACAAGCUGUCUGCUUACUUAGUCGAUGGCGACGCUUGGACUAACAGUCGGGGCUCUCUUCACGAGAAAUGUUUAGAGCAGUCUCGAAAGCUCUGCUUGGUACAGAGGUCUCAAGGGACAAGAAUGGGCCUUUUCACCACACAGCGUUUUCAAUGAGGGCCACAGAGGUAUGUCUCUUUGGAUUCCAGCUUCCGGAAUCUCCAGGUAUUUCCUCCUGAGAUUUGGGAGUCCAGAAACACAAAUCCACACACACACACACACACCAGUUUCACAUAAUUUUGUGCCUCCUGCAGUAGUAAAUUCUGGCACAUCUCUCCUGUUGGAGGCACGUUAUGCUCUUAGAAAAGGCAAGUUAGCGGACCAGCCUGAAGGUUUGCUUUGCUCCAGGACAGGUGCCAAAAGUGAGGUAUACUGUUGCAGCUUUCUGAGAAUCGAGGUGCAACAUCCUUCAUAGAGGACAGUCCUCGCAACUGCUGGUGGGGAAUGCAUACUUUAAAAAUCAUCACACAUACUAGAGAAGUGCCCUUUUUCUGGUACUCUUUGGUAUUUUGAGAAAUAGAAUGGAGACCAGUUUCGUUGCCACCUUGAGCUUUGCAGGAUGACUGUGCAGGGCAUCUGUUUGCUUUCUUGCUUUGUAAAGGCAAGAAUUCAUGUUGCAUCUGGUUCAUGGUGAGGAAUAGGUUCCCCUUCACUUCCUGGCACUGUCACAGGAUUAGGAACAUGUUGAGCAUCUGUGCAUUUGAUGUUUUAAUCUCAUUUUUACUGCUGGAUAGUUGUAACAGAGGGAGAAACAGUGAGCAAUAAAUGCAAGUUGGUUCUAUUACUUGUGCUGUCUACCUGUUCGGUGAAACGCCUCCACGUUCACACAGCUUGCCUUUAUAGCAGUGGCACCGUCUGCUAGGCAGAGGUAGCUUCCUCACGUGCACAUAUGUGCACAAGACAGAAUUGCAUAAGCGAGUGCAGCUGAGGUUGAGGUGGUGGCCAUCUUGAGAUCUCGUCUCGUUUACAUGGGUUAUGAGAGAAAUGCUGUCGGAGCCCUGUAAAACCACGGCCCAAAAGCAGAAGCAUCACUCGGUGUAGAAUUUAAAAGGCUUCUGAUACAAUCAUUCCUGAUUAAUUGCUCAAAAGGCAAGUGGAGUCUCUCAGUGUUUUUCAUUUAGUAGAAGUUUGUGCUUCAGACACUGGUGGUCAAUGUCUGUUGCUUUCCUCUCGUUCUGUGGGAAACGGGGAACACGAGAAUGCAACUCUCUGUCAGUGUGUUUUUUCUGUCAGCUCUGAAGAUGAAAUGGAAACAGUCACAGGCUGCAGCCUAGAUGAAGUGGUCAACUUCCAGCUUUUUCUUCUUUUGAGGUUAAAAAAAACGGGGUGGGAGAGGUAUGAAGUAAUCAAAUCCUUUUGAUUUGGAGUGGUGAUGCUGGGUCAGUUCUCUCCCGAAGCUUCCCAGCAGAUUUAGCUUUGCUUCCAGUUACGUAUUGAUCUCUACACAAUUUCUCCCAGAAGACAGGCGUACCCGCAUUUCUACACAAUCGAGGCUGCCGAUUACUCUUCCAUGGUCUAAUUAUCUGCCUCUAGGUCUAGGUAUCCUUCAAAAGCUAUCGUUUUUGUAGUCCCAAAUUCCCACCACUUCUAUAUAGAUUUUUACUGCUUCUCCGACUUGCCUCUUGCCUCCAUCCUCUCAGCCCAGUUAUCUCUCUCAGAUUCUCACUUAAAGUAAUUUGUACACUUUAGUUUUUGUUUUUUGUUUUUUUGGUGGAGAAAGGGCAUUGAACGUAAUUCUGAUGUGCACACUGGAACUGUGGCAGUCUGUUUGGAAAAAGAUGUAACUGUGGACCAUCCAGACAGCACUGGGGUUGUGGGUAGCAUUUCAUGAGCAUGGAACCGUUUCCAGAGGUGUAAAAACUGCUUGCAGGCUCUAAAUAUGUGAAUGUAAAUUCAUUAACUUCCUUCCCUGUCCAGAUUUUAUGAGUAGCAUGCCUUAAACAGUCACAUAUUAUUUCAUUGGAGGGAAAAGUG